CUUAGUGGCGGACGGGUGAGUAACGCGUGGGUAACCUGCCGUAUACAGGGGGAUAACAGUUGGAAACAACUGCUAAUACCGCAUAAGCGCACACUGUCGCAUGACAGAGUGUGAAAAUUUCCGGAGGUAUACGAUGGACCCGCGUCUGAUUAGCCAGUUGGCAGGGUAACGGCCUACCAAAGCAACGAUCGGUAGCCGGCCUGAGAGGGUGGACGGCCACAUUGGGACUGAGACACGGCCCAAACUCCUACGGAAGGCAGCAG
rnacentral:rRNA from 1 species